GAUGAAGAACGCAGCGAAAUGCGAUACGUAAUGUGAAUUGCAAAUUCAGUGAAUCAUCGAGUCUUUGAACGCACAUUGCGCCCCCUGGUAUUCCGGGGGACAUGCCUGUCCGAGCGUCAUUGCUGCCCUCAAGCACGGCUUGUGUGUUGGGCCCCGUCCUCCGAUCCCGGGGGACGGGCCCGAAAGGCAGCGGCGGCACCGCGUCCGGUCCUCGAGCGUAUGGGGCUUUGUCACCCGCUCUGUAGGCCCGGCCGGCGCUUGCCGAUCAACCCAAAUUUUUAUCCAGGUUGACCUCGGAUCAGGUAGGGAUACCCGCUGAACUUAAGCAUAUCAAUAAGCGGAGGA
rnacentral:misc_RNA from 1 species